rnacentral:rRNA from 1 species
GACGAACGCUGGCGGCGUGCUUAACACAUGCAAGUCGAACGGAAAGGCCCUGCUUUUGUGGGGUGCUCGAGUGGCGAACGGGUGAGUAACACGUGAGUAACCUGCCCUUGACUUUGGGAUAACUUCAGGAAACUGGGGCUAAUACCGGAUAGGAGCUCCUGCUGCAUGGUGGGGGUUGGAAAGUUUCGGCGGUUGGGGAUGGACUCGCGGCUUAUCAGCUUGUUGGUGGGGUAGUGGCUUACCAAGGCUUUGACGGGUAGCCGGCCUGAGAGGGUGACCGGCCACAUGGGGACUGAGAUACGGCCCAGACUCCUACGGGAGGCAGCAGUGGGGAAUAUUGCACAAUGGGCGGAAGCCUGAGGCAGCAACGCCGCGUGCGGGAGGACGGCCUUCGGGUUGUAAACCGCUUUCGCCUGUGACGAAGCGUGAGGGACGGGAAUGGGGAAAGAAGCACCGGCUAACUACGG